rnacentral:rRNA from 1 species
GAAUAUUAGUCAAUGCUCGAAAGAGUGAACUAGCUAACUGAAAUCAAUAAAAUAAUUGAUAACAUAAGGGAAAAUAAUGAUAUUACCUUAUUAUUAGUGUCGUCCAAAACUGGUGCCAGAAGACUCGGUAAGGCCAGAGACACAAACGUUAAUCGUCUUAAUCAGGCGUAAAGGGUUUGUAGGCGGCUUUAAAAUUUACUAACAAAUAAAUAAAUAAAAAGUAAAGAAUAAAAGCUAGAAUCAAAUAGAGGAUAUAUGAAAUAAUGUUUAGAGUAGGUCUGAUAUCCUUAGAUACUAAGUAGAAUAUUAAAGGCGAAAGCUUUUUUCCAUUAAUGAUUGACGCUCAGAAACGAAAGUGAGGAUAGGAAAUAGGAUUUGAUACCCAAAAUACCCCUCUCUGUCAACGAUGAAUGGUAAUUUAUUAGUAUAAUUAUUAAUAAUAAUGUUAACACGAUAACCAUUCCGCCUUGUGAGUACAACUGCAAAGUUGAAAACAAAAAAAUUAGUCGGUUUCGGAGCAAACGAAGUGAAGCAUGUUAUUUAAUUC